GUAACCACUCUUCUACUCUCUGCUUCUAUGAUACCCAAACUUUUUAAAAUUAAGAUUCCACAUAUAAGUAAGAUCAUGUGGUAUUCUCUUUUUUUUUUCUUUUUUCUUUUGCAGACUGUUGUGGCUGUUCUAGGCAGUUUGUUUUUCCAUAUUGAAACAAAGAAACUUGCUGAGAUUUUUAUUGUAAUUACUUUGUCUGCAUAUUGAUUUGGAAUUAACUUUGGAAUAAUAUUGGAUAUUACAAGCCAUGGGCACUAAGAAAACAAGCAAGCAAACAAGCAGAAAAUCCAGAAAAUGUUACAAUGUCAUUGCUACAUGAAGAGAAGAUCAAGAGAAUUCAGCCAGAAGACUGUAGAAACAAAGUCAUGAAUCAUGCUGUCCUUGGAUAACCCGGUGUCACCCAGAAUCUCUGUAUCCCUUGGAAAUGUAGACUUUCUCCAACCGCCUCUCCCUCCUUGGUGGCUUCUCUGCCUGGACAGACUUGUCUUUGUAUUAGUAGUGUCACUUUACCUCCUACUACUCAGGAACAGACCAGCCAGUCCCAUGACAAAUUUCCACAAAAUGCCAUGUAUCUUGUAAAUUUAAUGAAUCACUUUGGGAAAAGGUGGGACACAGAGAGCUUAAUGUAAAAAAACCCAUUUUUUUGGUCAGAGUGCUGAAAAAAAUAGAACUUCUUUAACAGGUUCUGAGUAGAAACAUAGCUCAAUGAAGAAAUAAAAGCACCUACUGUUUGAAAGUCCUGCUGUUAAAGUCUUACUUUUCUUCAUUACACCGGGCAUAGUGGGAAGAAAUCUGCUUCUGUUUCACUCAGGGAUAUUGUUCUGGAAUCACAGCUUUUCAGACAGGCUUCCUGUGGAUUACCAUGAGGCUAGCCCUAAAUGUUUAUAAGGGACUCCCUUGCCUAUUUCUCCCCUUGUAUCCAUCUUCAUUGUGAUUUCCUCCUAGGUCAUAAUUUGGCUCAAGGUCCUGAUUAGUUUCAAGUGGGUAAAAUGACCUAUUAUCAGAUAUGAAUCGAGGGGAAACAGAAGAAGGGCCUGUUUGGUUGGCUCUGCAGUUCAGAGCAAUGGAAGACUUUCUUUCUGUGGUAUCCAGGAGUUUGGCAGUGAC
rnacentral:lncRNA from 10 species